GUCUACAGUCAUGCCACCCCGUACAAGCCCGAUCCUAUCUGAUCUCUGAAGCUAAGCAGGGCCGAGCCUGGUUAGUGCUUGGAUGGGAGACCACCUAGGAAGACCAGAUGCUGUAAGUG
rnacentral:rRNA from 1 species